GCAAGAUGACAAGCUCGCUAAUAAGCUCUGUUGGGGAGGUCUCAGCCCAGGCCAGAGCUGUGAAGUGAGAAAUAAGUCCAGUUUAAAUAGUGCUGCUGGGAUGGACUUUUGUGGCCAGGGAAGGGGUACCCAGGAGCCAGUGUGGCCACUGACCCAGCCUCAUCAAUGGCCCUAGGAUCCAGAAUGCCACAAACAAUGGAGCAAGAAUCAGAUCUGUGUGUCUGGGCUGGAAUGCAAUGGUGUGAUCUUGGCUCACUGCGACCUCCACCUCCUGGGUUCAAGCGAUUCUCCUGCUUCUGCCUCCCGAGUAGCUGGGAUUACAGACAAAGAAUUCAAGACUAAACUGGGCAUGGUGACACGCACCUGUAGUCUCAGCUACUUGGGAGGCUGAGGCAGGAGAAUCACAUGAACCUGGCAGGCGGAGGUUGCAGUGAGCCGAGAUUGUGCCACUGCACUCCAGCCUGGCCACAGAGCGAGACUCCGUCUCAAAAAAAAAAAAAAAAGAAAAAAAGAAAAAAGAAGAAGUCAAGACUAAGAAGAGUGAAGUAUGAAGUAAUUCACCCACAGACACCCAGCUAGUGAGUGGCAGACCUGGAAGACAAACUAGUUCUGUUUGGCAUCAGAAUCUAUGCUGUCAGCCACCUCACCACAUUCAUGUGACAUCCAACAAAGUGGUGCCUUCACCUGCUACUAAGUCUUGCUAGGGCUAGUUCCAGAGCCAAGACUAUGAAGUGGACAAUGAUCUAUGAAGCGCUAAGUGAACAGAUGUCAUGUAAAUAGCUUGGAUCUCUACGUGCAUGUGUGCAUUGUAUAUGUUUACCAAAGACCUUGUUACAGUGUUUUUAGGCAUGGCUCACUUUAUAAAGGUCAUCACAGUUGGCCAAGCUAUCUGGUAUUUAUUACUCAUUUGAUACUCACACCUGCUCAAUGAUGCUGGUAUCAUUACUCUCCAUAAUGAUUUUCCUAUCAUUUUACAGAUGGGGUUCAGAAAGAUCAGGUGGUAGAUCCAUAGUCACACUCUAGUUAAUUGAUAGGACUGAGAAUUCAAUGCAUGCCCACUGCCUUCUCUUACAAGUCUUGGGGUAUUUGAGUGUAAUUCAAUAAUGACAACCCCUUCACUGUCCAAAAGGGGUGAAUGAAACAUCAAGCUGUCACAAAGGCUAGGUUGGAGGGCAUGGCUUAUAUCCUUGGGUAAGUAGGCUUACUAAACUUAAACCCUAAAGUUGAACUGACUUAACUACCCCGUCCCAGCAGCUGGAGUGGGACAGGACACUGGGUCUAUAUGGAGAGGGGUCUGCCCAGAUUAGCUUUAGGACGUGGAGAAGCAGAGAACUCAUGUUCCUACAAACAGGUUCACUCUCAAGAUAAAGACAAGGAACCAAACUCAGCCUGCCUGCUUCAUUUUUUCAUAUUUGCCAAUCAGAUAAGUCACUUCCGCCCCCAGAGAGAUUUAAUAAAGGAGCAGAGAAAGACUUCUAAUAAAAUUCCCUCCAUAUGGAAGGAAAAGGAGACAUCGGGAGUUACGUUAAUCAUGCUCAUUUCUUAACAGUGCAAAUAUCAAGAGUUAGAAAUUAGAGUUCCUGGCUGGGUGCGGUGCCUCACUCCUGUAAUCCUAGCACUUUGGAAGGCCAAGGCAGGUGGAUUGCCGGAGCUCAGGAGUUCGAGACCAGCCUGGGCAACACGGUGAAACCUUGUCUCUACUAAAAUACAAAAAAAUAGCCAGGCGUGGCAGCGUGCACCUGUAAUCCCAGCUACUCAGGAGGCUAAGGCAGGAGAAUUGCUUGAACAAGGGAGCCAGAGGUUGCAGUGAGCUGAGAUUGCACCACUGCACUCCAGCCUGGGUGACAGAGCGAGACUC
rnacentral:lncRNA from 1 species